rnacentral:rRNA from 1 species
CAAAGCGGAGAUAGCACAUUGAAUGUCCCAGUUCCCUUCGGAUCACUGAAGUUAAGCUACGAUCCGCGUGAUUUGCGGAUGGGUACCCAUCUGGCCAAUCACGUGCUGCUCUCU